rnacentral:lncRNA from 1 species
GUUUGUGGCUUCUUUUUCUAGGACCUAGUAGUGAGAGGGAAGAAGUAGCAACUGGACUGAGUACUGACUGGGGAAAAAGGCUGGAGUACAAGAGCUUUAUUAUCUGUCAGUCACAAUCUCACUUUAGACUCUCGGCUCAAGGAGCCCAGACUCUUUUCUACGUAAGUUGCCAUUUAUUGAAAUUAAUUAUUAUUAUUAUUAUUACUAUUAUUAUUAUUUUAUAUGUCAAAUGUAUGGUUUAGGAAUAAUUCUUCCUUAUAUUGGGAAUCAUUGCAGGGAAUCUGGGGAAAGCUUGUGCCUAUAGUAGUUUUGGGAGCUAUUUCUGAAUUUCUAUCAAAGUUACAUUUUCAAAGACAUUUACAUUUACGUCUUUUUCUUGUUCAGUUUCUCUCCCUCUUUUUCACUCAACUGGUCCUUACAUUCUUGUACAGACAGCAAAAGAAAAGCUGUCUCCUAUCAUUCAGAACAGUGGAUACAACCACUGGAAUUCUAUUUCUUUUUUUUUUUUUAAAGAUUUGUUUGUUUAUUUGAAAGGUAGAGUUACAGAGAGGUAGAGGCAGAGAGAAAGAAAGAGAUCUUCCAUCCUCUGGUUCAUUCCCCAGAUGGCCGCAGCUGCUGGAGCUGAGCCAAUCUGAGGCCAGGAGCUUCUCCGGAUCUCCCACAUGGGUGCAAGGGUCCAAGGACUUGGGCCAUUUUCUACUGCUUUCCCAGGCCAUAUCAGAGAGCUGGAUUGGAAGUAGAGCAGCUGGGACUCAAAUCGGCUCCCACAUGGGAUGCCGGCACUGCAGGAGGUGACUUCACCUGCUAUGCCAUAGCGCUGACCCCUAGAAUUCUAUUUCUUAAAAACAAAGCAAAAAUAACCUUUGUGACUAUCUCAGUCACAGUCUACAUUCACAUUCUUUUAUUCAUGAAUAUGUGUGAUUAUAAAUGUAUGAAUAUAGAGGCCCAUUUUGUGACUGAAGAAAAAAGAAAGCAUUCUCACCAUGUAGAGGUAAAUGAGCAGCAAAUAUAUGAUAAUAUAGCUAGAAAGGAUCAGGAACAUGAGGUUAGAAAAAGUGUGGAGGGUGAGAAUGAUGGGUACAUACAAUCUGACUUGGUGUAAGUAGCAGUAUUAUGUCUAGCCACCUUCAGAUGGGAGAACAUUUUUGUCUAGUGGCUAUAACUUCUAACAAAUACACCUUUGAUACAAUUUGCAAGUAUUUUCUUUUGUUUUAAAUUUUCAGCAUGUGAAAUCAUAAAACGAAAGUUUGUAUUUUUUCAGUUACAGGAAGCUGCUUGCUAUUUCCUAUUACAACCUAGAAAUCAUGAACUUUAGAAGCCUGGACUCAACUCCCAGGAUUCUCCUUCACUUGGGAUCUCUUUGUGUUUUAGUUACCUCGUUAGUUAUUGCUGGAGUGAGAAUGGGUGGCUAUUAAUAUUUACCUUAGAGUAUUUCUAAGAGUAGAGCAACUUAACAACCAAGGCAUAUAGAAAACACUCAAUAAAGACAGAGAGAGGAAAUAUCA